rnacentral:lncRNA from 9 species
GCCUGCCUGUGACGUUGAAAGCCAUCCCUAUGAAAACAUUUAGGCAUUAGUGCGUUAGGUCUGUAAAAUGCUCCUAAAAUGCUCUGUACGUUUCAAAACUGCUGAAAAGUCUCGUAAUGCUCAGUCCGGCCAACGUCUUGCCAGCCUGGAGGGCUUGUUCUCAUUUUCUGAUGCAGCGGAAAGCCCGAAGAAUUCACUUCGCAGCCAGUGAAUGGGCUUGAGUCCAAAUCUACCCGAACGCAGACUAUGGACUCGAGUAGUAGGAAGGCAGUCUGGCUGCUGUGGCAUCUGUGGUCCUGCAGCCGAGGUACCGCAAGAGCCGCCCCAGCGAGGUCCUCAUUUCUCUGCAGACGGGCGAGCACCUGAAGGGAAAGCCUGUUUCAACCCGAGGGGACACACAUGCCGCUCUGUCCGAGCACGGUUGUCAGCCUUCCGUGCGAUGCUGUCGGGAAGCCGCUGGAGACUCACGUGAGGUGUCUGAUCUGCUGCGACCUGCACGGGGGAGCCGGUUUAUUCCCGUCGCAGUUUCCCCCAAGCAGAGCAUCUGCGACAAGCGUAGAUUCAUGGAAACUCAGUUGAAAUGCAGACCUGUCCUGUGUCCACACGGUUUUCCCUCAUGCUGCCCUUCUGUAGUCAGAUCCAGCCCUGACUCCACCACGGAUGCGUUCUCCAUCUUUAUAACACGUUUGCUUGAGAAUGUUCUAUGAAUGGAAGCAUGCAGUAUGUGGCUUUUGAGAUUGACAUGUUUCACUCAAGGUCCUUUCUCUCGCCGAAUUCUUCUGGCCAUGCAUCCUGUUCAUGAUUCUGACAGUACUUCGUUUUCAAGAACCUCCCAGAGAAAGAGACAAUUUUCGUCUAGGCUCCGAAGUGCAGCUGCCCCGCACAGGAAGGUGGAUGACCUGGCCUUCUUAAAAGAGAUGCAGGACCUUGCCAAGGAAGUUUACGAAGUAAUGGACGAGGCGAGAAACCUGCAGAAACUUUGGGUGGAACGAUCCCAGACUCCAGGCAAGUGAAGCUCUCAAGCCCUCAGACCCACCUGGACACGGGCUUGGCCCUGGGGGCGGGAGAACCCAGAAUGUCUUUAUUUGUUGUUGUCCUUUUCUGUUUAGGGCUGCACCUGCGGCAUAUGGACGUGCCUAGGCCAGGGGCUGAAUCGGUGGCCUCUACCACAGCCACAGCAACUCCGGAUCCUUAACCCACUGAGCGAGGCCAGGGAUGGAACCCACUUCCUCAUGGAUGCUUGCUGGAUUCUUAGUCCCCUAAGCCACAGUGGGAACUCCCCCAGAGUGUCUUUAAAAUUCUGUGUACAUUUUAUAUCCCUUCAGCAGUGGUCACUGUGGAUCUCAGAAAAAGACGCCUUCCGCAGAUGAGGCCGGCACCUGGGGGGUUAUGGAGGGUGGCGCUGGAUCUUCACUGCUGCUCCUUGAGGGUACCUGGGCAUGGCCCUCAGAGCGGCUGCAGCUGGCCCAAGGAACCCUCUUUCCACCGUCCCUCCUCUGGCUUGAAUUUCUAACUUCCUUUCUCUCUCCCUCUUCCUCUGUCUUUAAAGUCUGUCCCCCGCCCCCACCCCCUGCUCCCGUCCUUCUCCUGGUAGACUCGAGUAGGUGUUUCUUUGUCGGUGACACUUUGACUCUUGUCUGGAUGAUGCGCUUUGGCUGUGAUGACACACCUUUCGAUUCGGGUGAUCGGGCUGCAUUGUUUCUGCCCAUUAUGAAGCGUGUCCACAUCCUAGGCUUAUCUCUUCCUUAUUAAUCUCCAUUCAAGAAGGUUCGAUGGAGGUAGGUCUUGGUGAGCUUGGUUGACAAGAGAAGCGUGGACCUCAGAGAGGUCCUGUCGUCACAUAUACCCAGGUUGUUGCCUGAAAACAUCAUCAGUAAACUCGGGCCACAGCCAUCCUGCCCUUUUAAAAAACAGUGCCCUAUCUCUGACAGCCAGAGGAAAUAUAGGACAUUCAGCUAAAUAUGAAUUUCAGGUAAAUAACUUUUUUUUUUUUUUUACUGUAAGUAUAGUCCAGAUCCUUAGAGCAGAAAAUAUUCAUUGUCUGUCUGAAGUUCAGAUUUAAACGGGUAUCUUACGUUUUCAUUUGCUAAUCAAGCAACCCUAAGUACGCACCUCAGAUUUAUAUAUGUGUACAUACACAUAUACAUAAAUACAUGUAUAACACACAUAUUUUUUUCUCUUCAUGGAAUAUAGACAAGGAAAUGGAAUGAGGAGUCUGGCAGAAAACUGCAGAAAGAGCUCUUCAGAGGAGCUGGUAUUAUGUGUUAUUUUUCUAAGAGAGAAAACAGCACCUUGGUUGAGGGCGGGGCCGAUCACAAUGGACCCCAAGGCAUCAGCAAAAGCCCCGGUCGCUUUAAGGCCAAACGAUGGAGUCUGCUGUUAGGUGCUGUGAGGGCAUCAACCUGCUUUUAUUUAUAUCAUUUGGUUUUCAAAUGAGGCUUUCAGCAUUCUCUUGGAGAGCUAAUUCUUUCGGUGGGGGUGGGGGGGCUGAAGUGUUUCUCGAGUUUUCGUUGGCUCCAUCUGAGCCCCCCCUGGUUGAAUGUAUGAAAGAAAACCUCUUCAUCUACCCAACACUUCUGACCCCACACGUGUGAGUUUUCCACACCAAGCAAUUUUCCAGUUCUCUGUGGGCACCCACUGGGUGUCCUAUAAUUGAAUUCAGUUCUGACCCCUCUGGACCCCACAGUGCGAGGCUCAGCCCCUCAGGACUGCUCUCACUGCAGAGGCCAAUUGCAAGAAGGGGCCCCCUGGAUCCCCGCAUUUCUGUCCGACUUGGCUGUAAGUUGGGAUGGUCACAGCCCCUCCGCAGGUCCCGUGAUUCUCUGGGACAGCUCAGGGAGCUCAGGGGGGCACCCUGCUUGCCGUUACCAGUUUCUUAUAAGGGAUUUAGACAAACUGAGAUGAGGCAUUGUCCCUAUGCGAUGAGAGCCUCAGCCUCCAGGCCUGUGGAUUUGGGUACCAACUAGAAACUCCUUGCACCCCAUCAUGUCGUGUUUUUCUGGGGGUUCCGUCAGGCGCGCAUGAUUGAUCGCGUCCUUGCCCUUGUGCUCAACUCCAUCUCCAGCCCCUCCGUCCUCUCUGAAGGUCAGGGUGGGGGUGGGGACGAAAGUUCCACCUCUCUAAGUAUUGCUGACGUGGGUCCGUGGACUCUUUCAUCAGUAGAAAUUCGGGCAAGGCUUCGUGGGGGCUCAUGGGCACGGGGGAGCAAAAACAGAUAUCAGUACCCUUGCUCGCUCCUUGAUGGGGCUGGGGGGCUGCUGGUUCUCUAAGUGGGGUGGGGGUGGAUCUGUGGGUUGGGCGGGAGGGCUGGCUUAGGCGGUGCGCCCACCCCUUGGUGGUGCUGUGUUCAAGGGUCGUGCCUAGGACCCUGCUUUUAUUUCUGGCACCUUGGUUGUUGUCCUUCUGUAUCUUACUGCUCUUACCUGGCCCAGCUGUGCACCUGUGCAGUCAUUUUCAGUCCUUUGUACUUUUUUUGUGUUCUGUGGCUCAAGGAAGCAUUUGUCAGGGGUGAGCCCUGCAGCAGAGUCCAGGGGCCCAUCUUGUGUUAUAAUUAUGCCUUGGCUUCUUCCUUCCUUCCCUCCCUCUUUUCUCUCUCUCUCUCCCUCCCUCCUUCCCUUCCUUCCCUACCUUCAUUCUUCCCUUCCUCCCUCCCUCCCUUCUUUUCAUUUUGCUUUUUAGGGCUGCACCCGCAGCAUAAGGAGGUUCCCAGUCUAGGGAUCUAAUCAGAGCUGCACCUGCCAGCCUACACCACAGUCACAGCAAUGCAGGAUCCGAGCCAUGUCUGUGACCUACACCACAGCUCACGGUAACGCCAGAUCCUUAACCCACUGAGUGAGGCCAGGGAUGGAACCUGCAUCCUCAUGGGUACUCGUUGGGUUGGUAACCCACUCAGCCGCAGCGGGACCUCCUGCCUUGGCCUUUCUGGUGAUCAGUCUCCCUCCUGAAGCCAUCUAGGGCCCCAGCCCCCAGGCAUCUCAUUAGCAUUUGGAGAUAAUUUUAUCCCUAGGGAGAUGAUAAGAGUCUUAAAAGCUCCUGCGGGAACCGCACUGAGGACUAACGUAAAAAGAGGUGCCUGUAUCACACCCAUCACUCAGGGAAUUAUGGGGGUUUUAAGAACUGAGGGCAAAGACCAAUGUAUUUCUUAUUUAUCACAACAGGAUUCCAGAUAUAAUCUGAAAGUCAUAUUUUCACUUUUCGCUCCCUCUUCAACCUUUUUCUUUGUUUUUCUUUAUUUUCCCUUUGCUCUCUCUAUCCUGUCCUGAAUACUCUCGGUGCCUGUGGAAUUAGAGACGGGUCAAAUAGUAACUACUUGUUGGCAAACUGUUGGAAUUUGGUUUACUACUUAAAUCAUUUAAUGUCGAUGUGCUCUGGAAACCUCAAGUGACUCUUCAGGUUUAUCCUUCAGUUUGAGGGGCCAGGAUUCCGGGGGCCCCUUGAUUUUAGAACUAAUGUAGGUACACAUCAGUGCUUUGUGAUUGCUGACUGACCUCAUGUAUCUGCCAUCUUCUUUAUUGUAGAUUCUUCUUUUGGUUCCAGUUUUAUAACAGUAAGUAUUUUAACAAAGAUUUGAAGCCUACUCUUCAGAGCUAUCAUGGUGUCAACUGAAAAACAAAUGUACAACCUAAAAUUUGAGAAUUAUGUUUUAUCUGGCGGACAAAACUGAGAACUUAAGCCUUCAAGACAGGCCCACGGAGAGCUGGGAGGGGCUGCUCUGAAGAGGUGAGGGAGGGAAGCAGGAGAAGGAUGGGGGCCGGGCUGAGCAACUGGAAGCCCUUCCCUGUGGACAGACACUUCCAGACAAAAGUUACAGCAGGAGCAGGGAGGGGCUGCGUCCCGCUCCGAUAAAAGAAGGGGACCACUGGUGUCUCAUUCUUGAGGUCCAGGGGACCCCCGGGGCCAACACACUCACAGGAAGGUCCCUCG